GACGUAGGUGGCGAACGUUCUCCGGAAUUAUUGGGCGUAAAGGAUGCGUAGAUGGUGUAGUCAGUUAUCGGUGGCAAAUCGAGGCUCAACCUCGUGGAAGUCGGUAAUACUGCUAUGCUAGAGGAUAGGAGAGGUUAACGGAACUCCCUGUGGAGCGGUGAAAUGCGUAGAUAUAGGGAAGAACACCAAUCAGGCGAAGGCAGUUAACUAUUCUAUUCCUGACAUUGAGGCAUGAAAGCGUGGGGAGCAAAACGG
rnacentral:rRNA from 1 species